GUGCCAGCAGCCGCGGUAAUACGUAGGAGGCAAGCGUUAUCCGGAAUGACUGGGCGUAAAGGGUGCGUAGGUGGUAUAGCAAGUUGGUAGCGUAAUCCCGGGGCUCAACCUCGGUGCUACUACCAAAACUGUUGUACUUGAGUGCAGGAGGGGCAAAUGGAAUUCCUAGUGUAGCGGUGGAAUGCGUAGAUAUUAGGAGGAACACCAGAGGCGAAGGCGAUUUGCUGGACUGUAACUGACACUGAGGCACGAAAGCGUGGGGAGCAAACAGGAUUAGAUACCCUGGUAGUCCACGCUGUAAACGAUGAAUACUAGAUGUGGGAGGUAUCGACUCCUUCCGUGUCGGCGCUAACGCAAUAAGUAUUCCGCCUGGGGAGUACGGCCGCAAGGUUGAAACUCAAAGAAAUUGACGGGGACCCGCACAAGCAGCGGAGCAUGUGGAUUAAUUCGAAGCAACGCGAAAAACCUUACCAGGUCUUGACAUCAAGUGAAAGCCUUAGAGAUAAGGCCCUCCUUCGGGACACGAAGACAGGUGUUGCAUGGUUGUCGUCAGCUCGUGUCGUGAGAUGUUAGGUUAAGUCCUGCAACGAGCGCAACCCUCGUAUAUAGUUGCCAAUAUUAAGUUAGGAACUCUAUAUAGACCGCCGUGGUUAACACGGAGGAAGGUGGGGAUGACGUCAAAUCAUCACGGCCCUUACGACCUGGGCUUCACACGUGCUACAAUGGCUAUUACAAAGAGCAGCGAAAUCGCAAGGUGGAGCGAAUCUCAAAAAGAUAGUCUCAGUUCGGAUUGUGGGCUGCAACUCGCCCACAUGAAGUCGGAGUUGCUAGUAAUCCCGAAUCAGCAUGUCGGGGUGAAUGCGUUCUCGGGUCUUGUACACACCGCCCGU
rnacentral:rRNA from 1 species